ACUCAAAUAGCUUAUGUAGAGCAUAAUAUUGAAGAUAUUAAGGAGAUAAAUUAUCUUUGAGUA
rnacentral:tRNA from 1 species